GCCCUGGUAGCGUAAUCGGUAGCGCGCGGUGCUUAUGGAAUAUCAACGGUGAUAUUACAUGCAUCUCACUGAGGUUGUGAGUUCGAGUCUCACCCGGGGCA